AAGGAGAUUAUGGAGAUAGUCGUCAAGCUCAGCCAAACAUUGCCCAAGAAACCGCUUCAAUAGCAGAAAGAACCCUCUCAUUACUGAAUGUAGCAGAUGAGCUUCCCAUCUUAAAA